rnacentral:rRNA from 1 species
UGGGGAAUAUUAGGCAAUGGGGGAAACCCUGACCUAGCGACGCCGCGUGAAGGAUGAAGGUUUUCGGAUUGUAAACUUCUUUGGCAGAGGACGAUAAUGACGGUACUCUGAGAACAAGCCACGGCUAACUACGUGCCAGCAGCCGCGGUAAUACGUAGGUGGCGAGCGUUGUCCGGAUUUACUGGGUGUAAAGGGCGAGUAGGCGGGCUAACAAGUCAGAUGUGAAAUACCGAGGCUCAACUUCGGGGCUGCAUUUGAAACUGUUAGUCUUGAGUGAUGGAGAGGCAGGCGGAAUUCCCAGUGUAGCGGUAAAAUGCAUAGAGAUUGGGAGGAACACCAGUGGCGAAGGCGGCCUGCUGGACAUUAACUGACGCUGAGGAGCGAAAGUGUGGGGAGCAAACAGG